UCCUAAUUAGCCUUUCGACAUUUUAUAUAAAAUGAUAUUUUAAAACAAGUAGAUAAUGAACAUUAUAUAGUGCUUGGAUUCAUAUUGACAAGUAAAUUUAAAAUCAUGUUGAUCGGAAAUGAAUGAUAAUAUUUUGGAAUUCUAUAAUUAGAUGUAUCAUUUUACAUUUUUUGACAGCUGGCCUUGCUUUUGGGAAAACAUUAUUUAUUGCGCAUAUAUCUGAACGUCUGGAUUUCUUCUAGGCAUUGAUAAUGUGUUGGCACUAUUUUUGCCUCAUAAACAUAAGGGUAUUUUGACUAGUUUCGGAAUCUUAUGUGAAUAAAACAUAACUCUACGCGAGUCUAGAAGAAAGGAGGUUUCCUACAUCCAAUCGGCUUUAGAAUCAACUGUUGACAAUGACUUGGGGAGAAUCUAUGGGAGGAUCGUGGGGUAAUGGCGGAUUUGGUUCAAGCACAGGAGGCCAUUCUGGACACAGACAUCCGAACGGCCAACAUUUGCAUUCGUGUAGUGCACAUCAUAUGGUAUUUGGAGGUCAUGGGGUUUUUGGAACACACUACGAAGAACAUUGCCCAGGCUGUCGGCGGGAAAGAUCUCUUCACUCGUGGGGCAGUUCCCACAAAGGAAAUGCAGCUCUAAGUCUUUUUUCUUUGUUUUAUGGAGGUAAAAUUGCCAGGAAAAGUUUGUGGGAUUAACAGUGGACAAAAGACACCUUUGAAAUGAUUUUUUCAGACUUUUCCACUGCAUUAGAGAGAACAUGCAAACUUGAAAUGAGCUUGACUAAAACUGAAAAAUGUUAAUCAGAACUUGUGAAAAAACAACAUUUAAAAAAUAUUAUUUGUUUGAUGCCGUUAAUUCAUAAAGGAAACAGAAUGCGAACGAUUCUAAUUUUAGUUGCUUAUGACGUAGAAGGCGUGUUGUGUGUUUCUAUUUUCUUUACCGUCCAUGAAAAUGCUGUAAGAAGCGGAGUCUAUUGAAAUUUUACUUGGUUGCGUCCGCUAUUUCCAAAAGACAUUCAACUAUAAGAUGAUUUCAGAAUACCUAAGUGUUGUGUGACAACCGCAAGUAAUCACAUCGAACCGUUAUUACUUCUGGUCCUUUUUUGAUUAUAAUAUAGUGUAUUAAAUGUUGUAUAAUAGAGUUCAACCUAUUUUGGAGGAGCGUAAUGUGAUCGAUGUAUUACUUAAAAAAUACCUCUCAUGGACGGACUUAAGUAAUCAACUUUCUAUAAAUUAGCUUGAUUGCGCUCUUUUUUGCUUCCAGUUGAUUGUUUAUGAAUUUAUUUUACUUACGGCUUAUGUUUAACGUUCAAAGCAAUCUUUUAGUCUGAAAGUAUAUUUUAUGAUCUGUUGUAAAGUAAUUAGAAAACGUUGGAAGGACUAAAAGUUGUAUUCUAACAUGGCUUGAUUUGAUUUCCAGUUAAACAAAGAAGGAAACCAAGCUCUGUAUAUCCUGCGAUAAACAACGGUAGACGCGCGGACCGGUAAGAGAGCAUUACGACGCCAAUUAUGACGUCAAAUUACCGCAUGACGUCCGAUACAUUACAUUACUAAAUGAAAUCCAGCAUAAUAUUUAUCAAAUUAUGUCAAUGAGCAUGUUAGAAUGAAAACAAUCAAGGCCUUCUUGUGAUUUAUCGUCUAAUUUACCACGGUUCAACGUUCAGAUGCUUCAGUAUUUAACCACUCGGGCUAACGCCCUCUUGGUUCAAUUCCUACGCAUCUGAACUCUGAACCGUAGUAAAUUAGACGAUAAACCGAUCGGAGUCCUUGAUUAUUUGUUAGCUAGAUAUAAUUAUGUACGAUGCAUAUUGAAUUGCUCGAGACAUCAUUAUUGUCAUUACUUAAUGUAACAAGUCAGCAUGUUUCAAAAACAGGAUUCAAAUAUAUACAUGUAUUCAAUAAUAUGUUGAAAGUGCUUUUUCGAGUAUUCGACUUUAAUUUGGCGAGGUUUAGCCCUGGACCUGUGUCUGGUAACACUAUUCAUAUCCUUUGUAAAUAAUUAUUCAAGAAGUCAUUGUGAUAUUCAUUUGACAUAGAUAUUGUUAUAUUGAAGAUUAAUAGAUAUAUGUAUACAUCGUUACUGUUUUCGCUGUUGUUUUUAUUUUACGCCCGAAGAGUAUCAUGUUAUGACGCCGGUGUCCGUCUGUUUGUCCGUCCGUCCGUUAGCAAUUUCAUAUCUACUCUGUAAAUCUAAAAACCCCUUUAAGGAUUUAGAAGAAACUUGACACAAAUGUUCAUCACAUCAAGACGACGUGCAGAGCGCAUGUUUCGGAUGACUCUAAGGUCAAGGUCACACUUAGGGGUCACAGGUCAUACCUCCGGGCGUAUAUUGCUCCGCAUUGCAGUGUUCUUGUUACCUUCGCUAUUAUCGUAACUAUAAUUGUCAUUGUAAACUUGCUUUCCUCAGUUUCCUUUCAUCUGUUUUGUCAACACUAUUCAUGUUCGUGAUGCAACACAUUAAUAACUUCCAAAUACUCCAUUACAUGUUGAUAUUGUUGAUUUGAAAAUAAAGUAUUUUAAUCUCGUCAAAUAAAGUGUAAUGCGCAACAUAAUUCCGUAUUUUUCAGUGUGUACUUUGCUAAUGUUUUUACAUAUUUAAACAACACGAAUUCCUAUUUUUGUGUAGAUAUUAUUUAAUAGGAGAGAAGAUAUUUUCACCUCUAUCAUAUAUUAAGUAGAAAUUUCAACAACAAUAAAAAUUAUACGUUUGGCUUCCUUGAUUUUAAAAUGUAUUCCUUCUUUAAAGUUUCUAGUGGAAAAUCAUUAUUUCUCCCUCAGGAUUUAAUUCUGAACUUAAAAUUCUUACUGUGAAAUAUCUACAACUUCUACAUUACAUAUUAUUUUUACAAAGGCUUGUGCAACAAUAAUGCAUGAUAAAAACCCUGCAUCCGUUCUACCUCAGCAAAACUGAAGAUUUAAAAUACCUACGUUGUUGCGUUUGGUAUGCUUAUUGCUUUGGUAUCAAAGGAGUAUCGGAAGCAAUAGUGUAGUAUCAUUCAUGCAUAAACAUAUUACAUCAGGUUCAACAACUUAAUAAUGCAUUUGGAAAUGCAUUUCCUUUGGAGAUUGCCGUUUAAUUGAUCACUAUUAACAUGUAGCCUGCUGGCGCCAAGUGACUCUGCCUUUGCGACCAGUGCAGGCUCAUCUGCAGACCGAGAUGAGCUUGCACAUCGGUACAGGCUUUUCUUGGUCUUCACUGUUCGUUGUUCAGUCAGAAAUUUUCGGUGAACACCCCUUUGAAUUUAUCGCUUUAACGGUCACUAGGUUUACUGGUAAAAUAUGUACCAUUCUUUAAUAGUGGUUUCGCCAUUCGUGCAUCAACUCAGUGUUUUAUUUUUUUAUAUUUCUGAUCCUUUUGAAUUAUUGAGUCCAUUUAAUAAUACUUUUACCACAAAGAACAAAACAAUGAGUGCUCUUUCUAAAGAGCUGUUUUCCUGGUAUCUUGUUUCAGUGUUGUAAUCAUUUCGGACUCUUUGGGCCUUCAUCUGAUUAUUAUGUCUUUAUAAAAGAUUUCCGCUUAUGCCCAUGCUAGAAGACAUGGAAGGUGCUGCACAGUUCAUUACCUGUCAUGAAGAGAGCCAAUAGCCGUUAUGUCUUUCUCAAGAAGAUCCAUUUACUCAUUUCAAUCCAAUGCAAGAAAGGUGACUAUGCAUUUAGAAUUUUAUGGGUAAAAUUCCAAGUUAGGGUUUGUUUGGAAUGUUUCUUUUAAAUUUCUCAAAACCACAGACGUUAUCAAAGUUUGAGAAAUAACAUGCAAAUCAGUAAACUUGUUUAAUUUAGACAUAAAUAGAAUUGUCCGUGCAUAUAAUUUUAUUGACUAUUAAGUACAUUUUAUAUAGCUAUAAAGUACUGAAUUUUCAUGGGUCAGAAUAUCUUGUAACAUUAAAGGAAUCGAUAUUCUGUCGAGGUAUUGGAUUUCAGAAUGAUCUUUUAGAUUGUAUUUUGUAUUCUGAUUAAAACAAAGAAAUAAUUUCUUUUUUUUUCAAUAGAUUUUCAAUCGCCGUUUUAUCUUCAUACUUUUAGAAUUAAAAACAAAGACCGAAUUAGUGUCAUUUCAAAGUUGUAUGUGUUACUUUUUAUAUUUUAUUACGCAUAAGCUUUGUUUAGGUUUUUGGUAAAACAGAUUUUUUUUGCAUUAAAAGAGUGGUGCCUAUAUAGUUAAGACCGAAUUACAUGUCUAUUUAUUCAUUCCAUUGGCAUGUAAAAUAUAUAACAGAUAAUAUCAAUGGGUUGGGGAGAAGACAGUUUUAAAGGAGGACGGUUCGGUAACGGCGGUUGGGAGAGAAGCCACAGCAACGAGGAUCCCAUUGGGCAACAUUUAAAUACAUGUGUUGCCUGUAAUACUGGGUUCGGACAUACAGGACUGUUUGAGAAGAACUAUGAUGACAACUGUCCAGGUUGCCGUUACGACAGGAGUUACAGGCGCCAAGACAGCACAAGUUCGACUACUUCCGAUGUCGUCGCUGUUGGAUCUCUUUUUAGUAAGUCGGACAAACCAUCAGGCAAAACCGCGAAAUCAUUCUUUUCGUCAACAAGGCCAACCAAACUGGCACAGAAAAGUCUUUGGGAUUAAAAUAAACAAUAACUGAGAAAAAGGAUUGUUGUUCUUAAUACAGCAUAUACAAUAAUAUAUUCAUAGUCCAACUUGGACAACGUUUGGUCUUCAAGUGAUAGACAAUCUAAUACAGUGAACAUUUUUAAUAUUUAAAAAAUACUAUUGAUACAUCCUAGAUAUAUUAGCUUUUGGUAGAGAAUUGUUUUAAGGUUCAUACAAAAUUUCUAUUAGAACUAACUGGAAGAAAGGUCAAUGAAAUAUUUAUGUGCAUCUCUUACUACGUACAUAGUUCCGAGUUAAGACUAUUUGAACAAAAAUACACCGUACUAUAACAUAUAUAAUUCUAAUUUUCUGUACAAAAUAAAUACUGAAAUUUGUACAUAGUUGUUUCAUUUGUCAUUAUAUGACAGUGAAACAAAUUUUAGUUAAUAGGGUAGUCUUAAAAGUCUUGUAAAAAGUAUACUCAGAAGGGUUUUGAACAUUAUUUUAUUUAACACACAUGUGCUUUGUGUUUUAUCUUGUCUACCGCACAAUUGUUGCUUUAUCAUGCACAUGUAUUAUGCACAUGUAACAAGUACAUAUUUCAGCAGUACCAGGAAUAGCUCCCCUACUUUAAAGAUCUGUUUGUAUCACCGAUCCGGGUUCUUGGGGGUAAUUUUAUAUUUGUCUUUAUGUUAAAAACAAAUCGUGAAAAAUUGCUGUAUGGAUUUUCUUUGGAAAUAACUGUUUUGUUUUCUUUGAAAAUUCUGAAUUUAAUCGGCAUAAAAUGUGAUAGCGACAUUCUAUCUGAUCUAUUGUUAUAAGAUAAUAUACGAACUCAAUGACGGCUUCCAUGGCUGAAUGGAUAAGCUUUCGACUUCUUGAUCUACUUGUCCCCUGACGCGUUCAUAUGCUUAAAAUAUUCAACUAGUUUGCACCUGGUAUAUAGUUUUACUCCGAUUCCAGGCACGCGCCCAAAAUUAUGUUCGGAGGUGAUUUUGUAUUCUUCUCGCACCCUUAAAUUUAUGAUACAAUACUAGGGACUUUUAAAUGUUUUUACAUGUAUUAUGAAAAAAUAUUUACAUAAUGUUUUGCAAAUAUCCGCUUUCAGGUAUGGUUUUUGAGACUUUAUCAAGAGUGUUAUAUUUUUAUUGUAUAUUAAAAACUUACUUCGCAUUCAUUCUUUAAUGACAAUAUACUUCCGACAGAUUUCUCAAAAUUUAGAUGCCAAUUGUCAUAACGAGUUGACUCUUCCAAUGAAACACUCAAACAAUAUUUUUGUUUUAUGUACAAUCAUUACUAGUACUUCUACCAUGUGGUGAUUAUGAUACUGUCGAGCAUUAUCAACAGCUAGCUAUGGAAGAAAGGCAUGCGUCUGUCAUAAGACAAGGUUGCCUUAUAUACUCAUCAGUUAGAUACGUUAAGGAAAAUAAAUUCGUUACUAUUAUUAAGUUAAGAGGGUGUGUUCACGGUUGAAAUUAGGUAAUCUGGCUUGGUGGUUAUAAUCAGUGAACAGCAAGUCUCCCGUGCUUCCUCAGUGCCAAUGGUCAAUUUGGGAAGCGUAGCCUUCCCAAAGUCGCCAAACUCCCUAUACCGACAUUGGUGAAAUUGUAGUUACAAAUGCCGUUACUACCUUUCUCCAUACAUCCGCUAUAAAAGUAGUUCAGUACUUCUAUGAAAUUCAAGGGUGUCAGAGUAAACAGAUCGAUACCGUUUAUUUAGCAUAUGCAAUAAAUGUGAACACUUAUGAUUUGUAAAUGAAAAAUAUGGCGGGGAUUAGAAGUUCUUGUAAAGAACUUUGUCUACGCGUUGUACUACUUUACGACGUAAAUAUUUAUCACGUGACCAAGAGCAAGAACACAUGGUUCCGGUUCAGCGCUACCUUUCUCCAUACACGCGCCGUAAAAGUAGUUCAAUACUUACAAGGAAUUGAAAGAUAUGAAUGUAAACAGAUCAAUGCAAGUUAUUAUGGAUAUGCAAUAAAUGUGAACGCUAAUUAAUUGAUAAAUAAAAAAAGUGGUUUUGAUCGGAUACACUUGUAAAUAUUUGUCAGGCGAAUGACACACGGAAAAGUAUAUUUAAUCCGCUACAAAUAUAAUUCGAAAAUGAUACAGAUUUUUUAUGAAGUAUUUGCAAAAAAUAGUCUCUCAUAAUUAAAAAUGCCACUAGGGCCCUUUUCUUUAUAUAUUACUGAUAUGAUGCUAGUCUUGCCAACCCUCUUGUGGUAUUUUGUUGAUAUGCUGCUUGUCUGGCCGAUUUAUUUUCAAGUGCGCACACAAUGCUAUUAAGUGAAUCAGUUGGAUUUCUUGACAUGUACAAAAUAUUUGGCCUUCAACAUACUGAAUUUUUAAUCUCACUUUGUUUUUUCUAAGAUUUUUAAAAAUUUGUUACACAGUUUUGUAAGAUUUUUAAAAAUUUGUUACACAGGUAUAAAAGAUUUUUAAGAAAUUGUUACGCAGUUUAGAAAAUAAAUAUGUUUAACAUUUUCUCUGUUUGUUCCAUUGAUUGUAUGCAUUAACAUCUCACUUUGGAAGAUCCUGCCAUGAUUGUCUGUCAACCCUGCUUUCAGUCAAGUCCGUUUGAUCUUCUUAGAACGUUGCCAAAGACACAGACAACCCCUAUUGAUUUUGGUGCCGGGGUCAUAGCGACCUUUAAGCCAUCGUCUGCUUUUAUUGAUGAUGAGGCUUCAUACAUACAAACAUUGGUUCCCUAUUAGAUCUAAAGUCAAGUCAAAGAUUAUGAUUUGAGUAAUCUUUACUGACUUUGGUCUGAAUGUGAGUUUUUUUUCGGGGGGAGGGGGGGGGGGGGGGGUCAAUGAGUUCAAAAACGCUGGAAACUUUUAGUGAAAUAUUGCAAAAUGAUGGAAUAUUUGCUUGCCUGGUUUCUCCAUUAAAUGCAUACCGGUUCAGCUACGCUUCCCUACAGUCCUCUUAGGGCUUUGAUUUAUACUGCGACUAGGUACACUGUUUCCUUCUUUGCGUUUCCACCGAAUUAUAAGUGUUUAUAUCUAAACUACCAUUUUGUUUUUGUAGAAGUGUUGAAGAAGCAUCCUACCAAAGGCAAAAAUGUACACUUUUGCCUUGUACAAACGAAAUGCGUACAUGACUCACUUAAUAAACGUAUAAUCACGGGAAAAAACUUUAGUACUAAGUCACUGGAAGCUGUUCAUGAAAGCAUGUUAAUACGCUAUAUCCGAACAAAUGAUCAGUAUUACUCUGACUUCCGCUUCAAAAGCAUUCAACUGUUUGAAUAAAUUUUGAAAAUACCUGGAAAACCCUAUCAACGAAUACGAUUCUGAAGGAAUUGGCAAAACGAGAAUUUUUUAUCGCUUUAGUACUAUCGACCAUUCAUUCGCUGAGGGAUUUACCCAGCACCUACUAGUAAACACAGCAUUUUUUGUUUUCUUUUGACAUCCUCCGCCAUUUAAAUAAUAACCUUCGAAUGCUCGGCGAGUAUCACGCAAGGCGAACGUACUGAAGUGACGUCAGGAUGACAACUAUACAAAGAAUAUUCAAAAUAACAUUGAAAAUAUCACAAUAACAGUCGUCACAUUUAAAACAUAAAAUAAUAGCCCUAAAAUUUUGCAUUCAUAAUCUAAUGGUUUUACGCGUAAAAUGAAAAGACUAAAAAGCUAAGUCACAUGUUUUAAGGUUACGCUGACACAUAUUGAUUAGUUAUUACAUAUUUCAGUAUCUAUUUCAUUCAAGGAACAAGAAGAUUAUACAAAUAAGAAAGAAAUUCUGUGAACUUGAUAUAGGCACAGCUGCUCGGGGUGACCCCUUGCAAUGUAACUGGGAAAUAUAAUCUCCACUAAGUCGCUACUGUGCAAAAUAAUAUCAUGCACUGAAUGUAAACAACGAGCUGGAAUCAAAAUAGGUCAAGGAUAAUGGUUUUCCGUGAAAUUAUCUACGUUGUUGUGACAGCAUGUACUUUCAUAUUCAAUGAGCUGUUGCUGAAAAUAGAUUUUUUGCGCACAUUGAAUAUCUAACUGGGGCAUUUGAAAUAGCACAUAACUACAAACUUCCACUCUUUCAUUUCACAAAGAGGAUUAACACAUGAAUCUUAAACAAUAUUUGAUCUUAAAAUGGCUUGAAAUGAUAUAUUCUACUUACAAAAAAGAAAAGAAAACAAAACAAAUACAACAAAACGCUAUGUUAUAUACAGUCAUUAUCGGUAUACCUAGCAAUAACAAUUUAACAAGGAUUUCGCUACCUGAAUCAAUUCAGUCCAUAGGUAAUCGCACUAGGUUUAAGAAAGAAGAAACAUUUCUUAAAUGCUUAUGAUAGUUGAUUGAUUGUUUGUCAUCUGGUUUGUGUGAUAAUGUAUAUGUGAUAUGUUGAUGCAAUUCAAAUCCAUCUGUGAUAUUUUUGUUGACCAAAUCUAUAUUAUGGUAAGACUUUAGUGAAAAGCAGGAAACGCAACAAGGAUAAUGCCGUGGGGAAAUGGGUUUGGUUCUUCUAGAGCGCAUGCGAAUGGAACGCAUACGUCAUCCUGUUACGUAGGCAAGUCUGGGUUUGGAAGCACAGUCAAAUACAGCAAGAACUGUCCCGGAUGUGAGCGGCAGAAAGCCAUGAUGUCACCUGGACAAUACAAUAAACCAUAUACAGUGCUAAAGAUCGUGAAAAUAUUCAAAUAGUUAGAAUUGAACAUAAACCUUGUGGAAUGAAAAUGGCAUACGGACGAAUGUAAUCUUAUCUCAAUAUUUAUAUACAGUACUUAUAAAAAAAACGGUAAAAUGGUUUUAUCAUUGACGUGCAUUCAUUGAUGUUGGAAUAUAACAUAAUGGGAUGAACACGGAUUAUUGUGUUUCAGCUAUAUAUAUGCCAAUUUGUUACUGUCUGUCUAUAAUGCAAUAAUAAUUCAUGCGCUUUAAUGCAGUCUAUAUUCGAAUCAUGUAUUAAACUGGAAUGCAUCUGUUGACAAACAUUAAAAGCAAAAUAAAUCAUACGAAUGUCAACAUUA